rnacentral:misc_RNA from 1 species
CUCUGGCAUCACGCAUGCACCUGCACGGACACGCACGCACCGCACACAUAUCAGCUUGAUCUUCGUAGCGUACACAUCUAAUGGGUUUACAUAUAUAUGCCGCAUAAGCCGUUUUUCGUGCAUAACUCCCCCAGUCCGUAGACGUGUUCAUCACUGUUUGCGAAUAUACACGCACGUGCAUAUUGAGCAGCGAACGAACAACCACAGAAAAAAUGCCGCAGGCCGCACUUCCACUACUGGCAAAGAUUUGGUUCCUUGUCGUGGCCCCCGUUGUCAUCUUGGAUGCCAUCUUCGUGCUUACGCGCGCCAAGAGCGUCAACCUGCCGCACCCCCUGGCCGAGGUAGUCCCUUUCAGAUACUGGGCCAUCUACGCCCGGUACGACCGGCGUUACGCUGCGAACGAUGACCCCUUUGUCGUGGUGCAGUCGUGGCUGAACCUGGUGGAGGUGGCGAUGGGGCUCUUCGUGACGCUGCUUGCUAUAUGCGAUGCUCAAAACCUCGCCAUCAAACUUGCGAUCGUUGUGUGCCUGAUGACGCUAUACAAGACCGUCUUCUACUGCCUCAUCGAAAUCGCCGAGGGAGGCAAACACACGCGGCACAACACCGUUUCAGAGAAGUUGACAAUGCUCAUCGCGCCAUUGUCGGUGUGGAUUUUAAUUCCGUCCCUCAUUCUUCGUCAGUGCUUCCGCGCGCUCGCCGUCGCAAGCGUGCCAGGAUCCUUCAAGCCAAAGGCCACGGUGUCCCAGCAUUAUCAGCAGCAAAAACACCACGGCAACAACAAUAAUCAAGGCAAGAAGAAGAACUAGAAGCCAUCGGCUUUGCCACGUGAUUGUUGAUACACACGUGUGUGGUGCGCUACCAAGUACCCCCCCUCUCUCUACAUGCCUCUUGUCUUCAUGUGGAGGGGGAAGCGGGUGUUCCCGUGCGGGCGUAGGCUUUUCUCAAUCGUGCCACCGCCACACUUCCACUCCCGAUCGCGUUCUACUGCACCACCUGCACCCUGUUCCUGCCAUCUGCACCAUCUUCCAUGAUGGCCUUCAAAUGCGCCUGGAGGUGCUGUGUGCUCAUUUCGUUGACGUCAAAUCUACCAUUAUUGUACUUCAGGGUUCCUGGGCGAAGGCUGAUGUACCACGCACUCCCCAAAAGUGAUCAGGUGACAGCCUUUUCAGCGAUCUUCUCGACCCCCUCCCCCCCCCUUCGGGUGGGGGGAGAGGUUUUGAUAUCGUUGAUCUUGUUCAAAUAUGGAGCAUAAACCAGGUUCCACGCAGUACCUCGGCACUGUAUCUGUACUUUUGUCUGUUUAUAUUCCGAUACCUCAACACAAAG